rnacentral:rRNA from 1 species
CCUACGGGAGGCAGCAGUGGGGAAUAUUGGACAAUGGGCGCAAGCCUGAUCCAGCAAUACCGCGUGUGUGAAGAAGGCCUUCGGGUUGUAAAGCACUUUCAAUGGGGAGGAAAACCUGCCGGUCAAUACCCGGUAGCUUGACAUUACCUUUAGAAGAAGCACCGGCUAACUCCGUGCCAGCAGCCGCGGUAAUACGGAGGGUGCGAGCGUUAAUCGGAAUUACUGGGCGUAAAGCGUGCGUAGGCGGUUUUUUAAGUCAGAUGUGAAAGCCCCGGGCUCAACCUGGGAACGGCAUUUGAAACUGGAAGACUAGAGUUGAGUAGAGGAAAGUGGAAUUUCAGGUGUAGCGGUGAAAUGCGUAGAUAUCUGAAGGAACACCAGUGGCGAAGGCGACUUUCUGGACUCAAACUGACGCUGAGGUACGAAAGCGUGGGUAGCAAACAGGAUUAGAUACCCUGGUAGUCCACGCCGUAAACGAUGUCAACUAGCCGUUGGUCCUAUUUACAGGAUUAGUGGCGCAGCUAACGCCUUAAGUUGACCGCCUGGGGAGUACGGCCGCAAGGUUAAAACUCAAAGGAAUUGACGG